AACGAGGCCGACCUGCGGCUGAGUUACCUGCGGAAGGAUCAUUAAAAAAAGUUUUUGCCUGCGGACCUUGUCCAAGGCGCAAAAAACCCACACCGUGUGCACCGUUAUCGUUUCUUUGGCAGGGGUUUGAGACGAUUGGUUUUUUUUCCUUUCUCUCAACUUCUCCUCUGGCUCUAUCCUUCGUCGGACAGCCGGACAUGGGAAGUAGUUUUUUAAACUACCCCUGCCAAGUAACCCUCA
rnacentral:misc_RNA from 1 species